rnacentral:rRNA from 1 species
ACACAUGCAAGUCGAACGGCAGCACGGGAGCAAUCCUGGUGGCGGAGUGGCGAACGGGUGAGUAAUAUAUCGGAACGUGCCCAGUCGUGGGGGAUAACGUAGCGAAAGCUACGCUAAUACCGCAUACGAUCUAUGGAUGAAAGCGGGGGAUCGCAAGACCUCGCGCGAUUGGAGCGGCCGAUAUCAGAUUAGGUAGUUGGUGAGGUAAAGGCUCACCAAGCCGACGAUCUGUAGCUGGUCUGAGAGGACGACCAGCCACACUGGGACUGAGACACGGCCCAGACUCCUACGGGAGGCAGCAGUGGGGAAUUUUGGACAAUGGGCGCAAGCCUGAUCCAGCAAUGCCGCGUGCAGGAUGAAGGCCUUCGGGUUGUAAACUGCUUUUGUACGGAACGAAACGGUGAGCUCUAAUACAGUUUGCUAAUGACGGUACCGUAAGAAUAAGCACCGGCUAACUACGUG